rnacentral:rRNA from 1 species
GACGAACGCUGGCGGCGUGCUUAACACAUGCAAGUCGAACGAUGAAGCCUAGCUUGCUAGGUGGAUUAGUGGCGAACGGGUGAGUAAUACGUGAGUGACCUACCUUUGACUCUGGGAUAAGCCUGGGAAACUGGGUCUAAUACCGGAUACGACCAAUCUCCGCAUGGGGUGUUGGUGGAAAGCGUUAUGGAGUGGUUUUAGAUGGGCUCACGGCCUAUCAGCUUGUUGGUGAGGUAAUGGCUUACCAAGGCGACGACGGGUAGCCGGCCUGAGAGGGUGACCGGCCACACUGGGACUGAGACACGGCCCAGACCCCUACGGGAGGCAGCAGUGGGGAAUAUUGCACAAUGGGCGCAAGCCUGAUGCAGCGACGCCGCGUGAGGGAUGACGGCCUUCGGGUUGUAAACCUCUGUUAGCAUCGAAGAAGCGAAAGUGACGUAGUGCAGAG